GCAAAACGCGAAGAACCUUACCUGGUCUUGACAUAGUAAGAACUUUCCAGAGAUGGAUUGGUGCCUUCGGGAACUUACAUACAGGUGCUGCAUGGCUGUCGUCAGCUCGUGUCGUGAGAUGUUGGGUUAAGUCCCGCAACGAGCGCAACCCUUUUCCUUAUUUGCCAGCGGGUUAAGCCGGGAACUUUAAGGAUACUGCCAGUGACAAACUGGAGGAAGGCGGGGACGACGUCAAGUCAUCAUGGCCCUUACGACCAGGGCUACACACGUGCUACAAUGGUCGGUACAAAGGGUUGCUACCUCGCGAGAGGAUGCUAAUCUCAAAAAGCCGAUCGUAGUCCGGAUUGGAGUCUGCAACUCGUCUCCAUGAAGUCGGAAUCGCUAGUAAUCGCGGAUCAGAAUGCCGCGGUGAAUACGUUCCCGGGUCUUGUACACACCG
rnacentral:rRNA from 1 species